GGGUGCUUCGCUCAGCGGUAGAGCGCUUCGUUCACAUCGAAGAUGUCAGCGGUUCAAAUCCGUUAUCGCCCACCA
rnacentral:tRNA from 1 species